AUGGCAGUAGUUCUUGGUGACGAUCCGAAUGAGCUCCUCGCCCUUGAUGGGGAAGCCAGAGGUCUGGUGCGUGUUGCCAUCACCUCUGCUGCCAGCAUGUCCUUCUCCUGUAGGGUUCGAUUUGGGCGGAUCAAAAUGUCGAACACCUUAUGUGCAGACAUCACGCUCGGAAACGGGGACGAGCGGGGUGUGGUGUCGAUUUGGGCAAGCUCGUCGCUGAUCACUAACUUCCUCAUGCCCUUCUCCUCUACUUCUCUAGACACUAAUGUGGCAUCCUGGUGCCUUGUGGUCGCAGUCGAGGCCCUCAUCAUGGUGCUACUAUCAGCAUCGGUCGUCGAUGUAUGCGGAGCCAUGAAAUUUGUACAGCAAAGAGGAGGGGGAGAGGGGGGGAGGGAUGGGUGCCUUACCGCCCUCGACCGGCGCCGUUUGUACAGCCACGCCGCCAGCAAGGUUGAGGGCAAAGAUGCUGCCGGCAUGGACCUCGUCAAGCUCCUGGCAUCCAGUCACCGUUGUCGCUCCCAUGCUCUCUGCCGACGCCGCCAUGUUUCUCCCAGAGCUCGGUGGUAG
rnacentral:rRNA from 1 species